GGACAUGUAGCUCAAUAGGUUAGAGCAGCCUCCUUAUAAGGGGCAGGUUAGGAGUUCGAUUCUCCUUGUGUCCA
rnacentral:tRNA from 1 species